rnacentral:rRNA from 1 species
CCUACGGGAGGCAGCAGUGAGGAAUAUUGGUCAAUGGGCGCGAGCCUGAACCAGCCAAGUAGCGUGAAGGAUGACUGCCCUACGGGUUGUAAACUUCUUUUAUAAAGGAAUAAAGUGAGGCACGUGUGCCUUUUUGUAUGUACUUUAUGAUUAAGGAUCGGCUAACUCCGUGCCAGCAGCCGCGGUAAUACGGAGGAUCCGAGCGUUAUCCGGAUUUAUUGGGUUUAAAGGGAGCGUAGAUGGGUUGUUAAGUCAGUUGUGAAAGUUUGCGGCUCAAACGUAAAAUUGCAAUUGAUACUGGCAGACGUGAGUACAAUUGAGGUAAGCGGAAUUCGAUGUGUAGUGGUGAAAUGCUUAGAUAUCACGAAGAACUCCGAUGGCGAAGGCAGCCUACUAAACUGCCACUGACAUUGAUGCUCGAAAGUGUGGGUAUCAAACAGGAUUAGAUACCCCUGUAGUC